AUGGCGGUUGCCAGCAGGGGAAGCCCGGGUUAAUUCGUUCCCACCAGCGGGGUUAUUAGUGGGGGUCCAGGGUUUUCUGGGAAUUUUUGGGGGUAAAGGGCAGUCGGGGGCUUUGUUAGUUUGGAUUUGAAGUCCCGCGUUUCAGGUUGGAAUUUGUUUGUGAUAUGGACGAGUUGAAUUCUGGUGGAGUGAGGUGGAUUUCCGGUGGUAGGGUUGAAAGGGGUGGGAUUGGGAGGGACUCCAGGUGGGGAGGGGGGCUCCUGGGAUGUUGAUGGAGGUUCGGCUGGGAAGUGUGAGGGGCCAACCGGGUUAGAUACCCUUGUUGGUCCCCCCGGAAACGGAGGUUGAUAUGGAGGUGGUGCCUCGGCGCCGUGUCUUCCGGAGUUAACGCAAUAAGCAUUCCGCCUGGGGAGUACGGCCGCAAGGUUGAAACUCAAAGGAAUUGACGGGGGCCCGCACAAGCAGUGGAGCAUGUGGUUUAAUUCGAAGCAACGCGAAGAACCUUACCUGGUCUUGACAUCCACUGAACUUUGCAGAGAUGCAUUGGUCCUUUGGGGAUAUGUGAGCCAGGGGUGCCAGGUCGUUGUUCAGUUGGGUUGGGAAAAGGUGGGGUUAAUUCCGCCAAGGGGCCCACCCCUUAUCUCUUUUUGCCAGCGGUCAGGCCGAGAACUCAAAGGAGACUGCCAGGGACAACUUGGAGGAAGGUGGGGAUGACGUCAAGUCAUCAUGCCCCUUACGACCAGGGCUACACACGUGCUACAAUGGCGCAUACAAAGAGAAGCGACCUCGCGAGAGCGAGCGGACCUCAUAAAAUGGGUCGCAGUCCGGAUUGGAGUCUGCAACUCGCCUCCAUGAAGUCGGAGUCGCUAGUAAUCGCGGAUCAGCAUGCCGCGGUGAAUACGUUCCCGGGCCUUGCACACACCGCCCGUCA
rnacentral:rRNA from 1 species